rnacentral:misc_RNA from 1 species
GUAGAAGCCACAGAAUAUGUUGGUGUUGGUGCACGAUUUGGCCCGACCUUGGAAUCAAAGGAAAAACAUGCUACCCAUACUAGAGUUGCUCUGGCAGAUCCUCCAGAUUGUUGCAGUAUGCCGAAGAAUAAGUUGGCUGGAGAGGUCAUUUUGGUACGUCGUGGAAAUUGUAGUUUCACAGAUAAGGCAAAUAUUGCAGAAGGUGCUAAUGCUUCAGCCAUCCUUAUCAUUAAUAACAGUAAAGAACUUUUCAAGAUGGUCUGUGAGGAGAAUGAAACUGAUGUAACAAUAGGCAUACCUGCUGUCAUGCUCCCUCAAGAUGCUGGUGAUAGCUUAGAGAAAGAUUUGAAGAACAAUAUCUCAGUAUCUGUGCAACUUUAUUCCCCACUUCGACCGGUAGUAGAUGUUGCAGAAGUAUUUUUAUGGCUUAUGGCUGUUGGUACUGUCUUAUUGGCAUCUUAUUGGUCUGCAUGGACUGCAAGAGAAGUGGCU